CCUACGGGAGGCAGCAGUGGGGAAUUUUGGACAAUGGGCGCAAGCCUGAUCCAGCCAUGCCGCGUGCGGGAAGAAGGCCUUCGGGUUGUAAACCGCUUUCGGCCGGAACGAAAUCGCCCGGGUGAACAUCCCGGGUGGAUGACGGUACCGGAAGAAGAAGCACCGGCUAACUACGUGCCAGCAGCCGCGGUAAUACGUAGGGUGCGAGCGUUAAUCGGAAUUACUGGGCGUAAAGCGUGCGCAGGCGGUCUCGUAAGACAGGUGUGAAAUCCCCGGGCUCAACCUGGGAACUGCGCUUGUGACUGCGAGGCUGGAGUGUGGCAGAGGGAGGUGGAAUUCCACGUGUAGCAGUGAAAUGCGUAGAGAUGUGGAGGAACACCGAUGGCGAAGGCAGCCUCCUGGGCCAGCACUGACGCUCAUGCACGAAAGCGUGGGGAGCAAACAGGAUUAGAUACCCUGGUAGUCCACGCCCUAAACGAUGACGACUAGUUGUUGGGGUAGAAGUACCUUAGUAACGCAGCUAACGCGUGAAGUCGUCCGCCUGGGGAGUACGGUCGCAAGAUUAAAACUCAAAGGAAUUGACGG
rnacentral:rRNA from 1 species